GAAAAGAAUGGCGGAAAGCUGGACCAACAAAGGGCAGGUGCAGCCCCUGCCCGUCCUCCCGUUCUUAAUAGGACCUUCCCCAUGCUGCCUUUUCCUUUCUCGGCUUCUAUUGAAUGCCCCAGGAGGAAGGCAGGCUGGAAACAGUGACAGCUUCCUACCAUUGUAAGAAUAGCAGAAAGGGUCAGACUAGCCACAGCAAGAGACCCGAUGGCCUGUUGACAGUUUCUUCGAGUCUAGGAUGAGGCGGUGGGGGCAGGGGUAAGGUAGACCAUCUUCAUCCUUGACUUUGCUAUUGACCGCCACCAUCAUUUCACACAGGUCGUGUACUUGCGUGGCAUUCCCUCGCUUGCCUGCCGCAUUUACGCCUUCUAGUUGCAGGGGCAUUCACAAGAAAUACAACCCCCACGGGCAGGAUUUGAAACUCCAACGCAACACAGUGCAGGUACUGAACCGUUGCACAGAGAAAUGGUUUCCCUUGUGAAAGUGGGGACGGAUCAUCCUUGUCGCCAUAGUAGUGAUAGUCUUAGGACCCAAACAGCUCCUGCCUGUUUCACCAGCCCACAAGUAUAAAAGACUGCAGAUACUAACAUCUGAACCUCACUCCCCUCUACUCAUCUAAUGCUUUGGCCACCACUGUCAGCUCCCUUUGGGUCUCCUCCAUGAGUCACUUGGUGGAAAAACAUCUUGACAUUUCCAGCCAUGCGGUGGCUUCUUAAAGACACCUCUUUCUGGCUAUACUACUGUUCACAGCCAGUGUGGCAGCUCUGCCAUGGACUGCUAGACCACAGGGGGAUGUGCAAAGAAAACCAAAGCAAAGGCUAUUAACAUUACCUGGACUCAGCCUACACAGGAAGACCAACAUGGAAAUCUGUUAAUAGAUGCUUUUCUGUUGCUAUGAUAAAAACGUCAUGACCAAAUCAACUUACAGAAGAAUGGGUUUAUUUGGGUUUAUGGGUUUAGGGGGUACGAGUCCAUUGCCAUUAUGUUGGGGAAGCCGAGCACCAGGCAAGCAUGGAGCAGCAAGCCAAGCACUCGCAUCUUAAACCACAAGCAGGAAGCAGAGAGCAAACUUUGAGUGGUGCAUGGAUUUGAAACCUUAAAGCCGAUCCCCCCCUCUCAUUUAAAAAUGAACAAAAAAAAAAUACACUGCUGCUAAAAACAUCUUUAUCACACCACCAGCCCUCUGCUCUCUCACUUCUCGAGCCCAGGCAGCCACUCCUCCACCCCAUCUGUAUCAAGCUCUCAGGCUUGCCUCUGUUCCUCUCUCCUGUUCUGUUCCGAGCUACUCCUCCUUAGUGGAGGUCACUCAGUGGGGCUGUCUACCCCAGCGAGGAAGUCUUCAUCUUCCAACCUAAAGACCAGGCAGCAGUCAACUUGGCCUGAAGAUUUCUUCUUGAUACUACGUGGAUCAGAGGGAAUUUCAUAGAUACUUCAGAAGGACAUUUUCCCACACUAGAACGAGCCAUCAUAGGUCGAGGGAAAGGAACUAUUCUUCUCUACCAGGGUUGGCAAAACUCAAAGACAGUAACACCCAGACAUGUAUGGGUAUAAAAAAAAUAUGAUGAAGUAAAAAAAAGAAAGAAAGAAAAAAGAAAGAAAGAAGGAAAGGAAAGAAGAAAGAAAGAAAGAAGGAAAGAAAGAAGGAAAGAAAGAAAGAAGGAAAGAGAGAAAAGAGCUAACCAUGGAAGGAAGCUUUGUACUAUUUCCAAUGGAAGAAGUGAAGGAAAACCAAAGACAGAGCUUAGCAAUGAAGCAUAUACUCUGCAUUCAAGUUGUUGAGGAAGAUUUUUUUAAAAAAUGGCCACUUGAUAUGAAUAUACCCAAGGUCCUAUACAUAGGAGUAGAGAACAACUUUGGAAAUAAAGUACCAAGGAGAUGUGACGGCAAGCUGAG
ensembl:lncRNA